UACGGAGGGGGCUAGCGUUGUUCGGAAUUACUGGGCGUAAAGCGCACGUAGGCGGAUCAGUCAGUUAGGGGUGAAAUCCCAGGGCUCAACCCUGGAACUGCCUUUAAUACUGCUGGUCUGGAGGUCGAGAGAGGUGAGUGGAAUUCCGAGUGUAGAGGUGAAAUUCGUAGAUAUUCGGAGGAACACCAGUGGCGAAGGCGGCCCCCUGGGCCGUACCUGACGCUGAGGCGCGAAGGCUAGGGGAGCGAACGGG
rnacentral:rRNA from 1 species